AGCAGAGCCUCCACGACGCCUUCAUCACCGGAGAGAUCGUCCGCCUGCUGCUGACCCUGGAUCAGUACCAGCACCCGCAGCUGGGCCCCAGCCUCGUGGCACACGCAAAGGUCAUGGGCCUGAGCAGCAUCGAGAAGUACAUGGAGGUCUUGGAUGCAAAGUGCAGGACCGAGCUGCUGAGGAGCGUCUACUCGAGGAUCCACGACCGACAGGAGGACGACCAGGAGCUGCAGGAGUUCUUCAGGUUCAGAUGCUGGAUAUGACGAUGCUUCUCACCUCUGAGCAAAUAACUCACGACUCCACUUACUGCUGAUAUAUAUCAUAAUAAUUAUGUUCUUCAUUAAGAAGACACUGGGGAAAUCUUCUUUCCUUCAAAAGCAGAUUUAAUUUGAAACAGAGUCAUACACAAAGUGAGCAGCCAUAGUGCAACGAGGAAGAGCCUUUCAGUGAGCAGGCCUGGAACUAGUGGAAGAAGUUAGAUCUUUAUCCCCAAAGUAUAAAUCUGAACUGGAAGCUGUGAGACUCAUUCAUCCGUCUGAACAGAGGCCCAGGAAACAGGGAGGUUUCUCAGCACUAGAGGAUAACAUCACCUCUGAGUUCAAACCAAACACACAGAGAGAGAGAAAUCCAAAACAAACAUCUCACUGUUCAGUUGAACUUAAUUCUUUUCUGGCACGUUCAGUCUAAAGAUGAGAAUCAGACCCGCAGCAGGAAAACGUUGAUCCAAAGACGACCAGAGGAACAAAUCAGCCUCAGAAAAAGGGAUUUAACCCCGUGAGGUUCUGGCUGCACGCAGCAUCAGUGUCAGUUGUGGUCGACCGUCUCACACCUGGUUGAGUUUGGUGACGAUGAGCACGCGGACCGUCUGGUCGAACCCGGAGCACACACACAGGCCCUGCUUGUCCGGGCUCCAGUCCAGGCUGGCGAUUGGCUGCGUGGACAGAGUGACGUUCUGCAGGAGGUUGACGCUGCCGGCCACGCCCACGUCCACGCCCUCAGAGUCCGGCUUGCUUCUCUGAGCAGGAUACUCACUGUCAUCAUCAGAACAAAAGGGUUUCACAGUUAAUGAUGAAUCCUAAAGACCUUGAUUCAAAUGAAAUGGAAUAACAAAUCGUUGUGGUGAAAGAUAAACACUUACUAUUUCCACAGAUGUAGGUUUCCUGCUCCCCCUGCCGUCAUGAAGACGUCUCUGUUCUGAGGUAGAUGUCUCACCUGCCAGAUGGUCGACUUGUGAGCCUGAAACAAAGAACAGGGAUCGUUUCCCAAACUAUUAAAUCAGUAAUUAAUUCUGAGCCCCUCUCUGAACGCUGUGAGAAAAACCUCUCAACCACUUUAAUGGGAUGAGGGUCAAUAAUGUGGCCUUAGAACAUUACGAUUGUUUCCUAAGCAGUUGUAACUCUUUCUAUGAUUCUGAUUUAAACUGGGAACUCUUUAAUAAAUGUCUCUCAUAUAUAGUUUUUAUCCCCUGUGUGAUCUCAUCUAUCUUUCCCCUGCCCUCACGUUCACCAGGCUCCACCUUCUCUGUGUAAACUGCUCAACCUACAUGAUGUAAAUCCCUUGUUUUACAUUUUCAUUCUCUGAACAGCUUCAGGUAAAUAGAACGUCCACAACUUUCUCACACGAGACGGACGCAAAACUGAAAAUAAAUAAAAUAAUAUGUUAAGAAA